rnacentral:rRNA from 1 species
UACAGGGGGGCAAGCGUUGUUCGGAUUCAUUGGGCGUAAAGGGUGCGUAGGCGGCGCGGUAAGUCGGGUGUGAAAUCUUGGAGCUUAACUCCGAAACUGCAUUCGAUACUGCCGUGCUUGAGGACUGGAGAGGAGACUGGAAUUUACGGUGUAGCGGUGAAAUGCGUAGAUAUCGUAAGGAAGACCAGUGGCGAAGGCGGGUCUCCUGGACAGUUCCUGACGCUGAGGCACGAAGGCCAGGGGAGCAAACGGG